CGGUGGAUAGUGCCGUCUUCUCCAGACUGUUUUUCCACAGGGUGGUGAUAGCAUGUUGGUGUUGUCCUGAAGCUUGCCUGAAGACUGCCUUGAGGGGAACUCCUCAGAGGAGUCCAUGAGCCUAGUGAACUUCCCUCCCUUCACCCCACGUCAGCCAAUCAGCUUCCAGCAACUACGCGAGCCUGGCUAACCGCUUUGGAAGAUGUUUCUUCUGAAACGACAAUGGAGAGGGGAUGGGGAUUGGAGGAAGGUGACCAGGACACUAUGCAAGCCUGCGUUUCCCACAGGAGAACCAAGGCUUAACUUAUUUGCCAAAUGGGCACUAACACUAAGAGGCUCGGAUGCAGACAGGGCAUGAUGGGCCGGCAUCGGAGAUGACCUUUUCUGGCAUCAACAUAUAUGAACUACUUUCUCCUUUUCUGGGCUGUGAUUGGCUGAUGCAUCAUCAGACGGGAGUGAGGGACAAAUCUGCUAAUCUUUUUAAAUGACAUUAGAGCUCAUGCAAAGCUGCAUAGGCACGUUUGAGAAGGAACACCAUCAGAAAAAUGACUGCCGUGGAUGACAUGUUCACCCUUAUUAAAAGGAACAGCAGCAUGCUCUCCAUAACCAACCCCUCCCCCCAUUCCUUUUUUCCCCCACCUUUUUAUUGUAUUUUGCAUGAGCACUUUAAAAACUAAACAAGUGUGAAAACGAUCACUUAUUAGAGCAAUUUGGGCUCGAGAGUCCUUGACAGUGUGAAUAAACGGCCUGAUUUGGCUUAACAGCAGUAAUCUUUG
ensembl:lncRNA